GCAACCUCAAGUUGGCGAAGCAGGAUCGUACGGUGUUUCUCAGUCUGCUCGGAAUUUCGUGGCUGUGGUUCGUCGGCGCGACCUUUCUCACGUCGUUUUUCAACUUCGCGAAGGACGUGCUG
rnacentral:ncRNA from 1 species